GACAGAGGGGGCUAGCGUUGUUCGGAAUUACUGGGCGUAAAGGGCGCGUAGGCGGUCUUGUAAGUUAGAAGUGAAAGCCCAGGGCUCAACCUUGGAAGUGCUUUUAAUACUGCAAGACUUGAGACCGAGAGAGGUUAGCGGAAUUUCCAGUGUAGUAGUGAAAUACGUAGAUAUUGGAAGGAACACCAGUUGCGAAGGCGGCUAACUGGCUCGGUACUGACGCUGAGGCGCGAAAGCGUGGGGAGCAAAC
rnacentral:rRNA from 1 species